rnacentral:tRNA from 1 species
GCCUUCGUGGUGUAGUGGUUAUCACGAUGGGCACGUAUUCCAGAGGUCCGCGGUUCGAGUCCCGGUGAAGGCG